UUGAAGAGUUUGAUCAUGGCUCAGAUUGAACGCUGGCGGCAGGCCUAACACAUGCAAGUCGAGCGGCAGCACAAGGGAGUUUACUUCUGAGGUGGCGAGCGGCGGACGGGUGAGUAAUGCCUAGGGAUCUGCCCAGUCGAGGGGGAUAACAGUUGGAAACGACUGCUAAUACCGCAUACGCCCUACGGGGGAAAGGAGGGGACCUUCGGGCCUUCCGCGAUUGGAUGAACCUAGGUGGGAUUAGCUAGUUGGUGAGGUAAUGGCUCACCAAGGCGACGAUCCCUAGCUGUUCUGAGAGGAUGAUCAGCCACACUGGGACUGAGACACGGCCCAGACUCCUACGGGAGGCAGCAGUGGGGAAUAUUGCACAAUGGGGGAAACCCUGAUGCAGCCAUGCCGCGUGUGUGAAGAAGGCCUUCGGGUUGUAAAGCACUUUCAGUAGGGAGGAAAGGGUGUAGUUUAAUACGCUAUAUCUGUGACGUUACCUACAGAAGAAGGACCGGCUAACUCCGUGCCAGCAGCCGCGGUAAUACGGAGGGUCCGAGCGUUAAUCGGAAUUACUGGGCGUAAAGCGUGCGCAGGCGGUUUGUUAAGCGAGAUGUGAAAGCCCUGGGCUCAACCUAGGAAUAGCAUUUCGAACUGGCGAACUAGAGUCUUGUAGAGGGGGGUAGAAUUCCAGGUGUAGCGGUGAAAUGCGUAGAGAN
rnacentral:rRNA from 1 species